GACGAACGCUGGCGGCGUGCUUAACACAUGCAAGUCGAACGGUAAGGCCCUUCGGGGUACACGAGUGGCGAACGGGUGAGUAACACGUGGGUGAUCUGCCCUGCACUUCGGGAUAAGCCUGGGCAACUGGGCCUAAUACCGGAUAGGACUCCUGGGUUCAUGGUUGGGGGUGGAAAGCUUUUGCGGGGUGGGGUGGGCCCGCGGCCUAUCAGCUUGUUGGUGGGGUGAUGGCCUACCAAUGCGACGACGGGUAGCCGGCCUGAGAGGGUGACCGGCCACACUGGGACUGAGAUACGGCCCAGACUCCUACGGGAGGCAGCAGUGGGGAAUAUUGCACAAUGGGCGCAAGCCUGAUGCAGCGACGCCGCGUGAGGGAUGACGGCCUUCGGGUUGUAAACCUCUUUCAGCACCGACGAAGCGCAAGUGACGGUAGGUGCAGAAGAAGGACCGGCCAACUACGUGCCAGCCGCCGCAGUAA
rnacentral:rRNA from 1 species